rnacentral:tmRNA from 1 species
GGGGCUGCUUAGGUUUCGACGGGAUAUAUAGAAUUUAAAUUGCAAGGCGCACUUAUGCGUUAAAUAAUUUUAAAAAUAACUGGAAACAGUAAUCAAUUAGCAUUCGCUUAAUUUAGAAUAGCGAAUACUCGUUUAUAGAUUUUAUCUACGAAUCUUUAUACGAGUUCAUUAUAGUAGAUUAUAUUAUUAUUUUGUUUAGGGAUAAUAACGAAUUUAACUAAACUAGUUAGAUAUUUACUUGUUAAUUCUUCUUUAUCUAAUGAAAUUUGCGAAUUAACUAACCUUGUAGAAGUUUAUCUAUCUAGUAUUUCGGACGGGAGUUCGAUUCUCCCCAGCUCCACCA